UGCCUCUCAGGGUCUCCCUUGGAGAGUUUCCAACUCUACCAGUCUCGAUAACGAGAGGGAAAGUAAAGCAGAUGCAUAUCCAUUCCAUUCCUAGCUUGGGCAGUGGCUAGCAAGUGGAAGGCAAUCUGCUAGCAAG